UAGCGUAGGGGGCAAGCGUUGUCCGGAAUCGAUUGGGCGUAAAGCGCGUGUAGGCGGCCAGAAAAGUCCGCUGUGAAAACUCGAGGCUCAACUUCGAGCUGUCGGUGGAAACUUUCUGGCUAGAGUCCGGAAGAGGAGAAUGGAAUUCCUGGUGUAGCGGUGAAAUGCGCAGAUAUCAGGAAGAACACCCGUGGCGAAGGCGGUUCUCUGGGACGGUACUGACGCUGAGACGCGAAAGCCGUGGGGAGCAAACAGG
rnacentral:rRNA from 1 species